rnacentral:rRNA from 1 species
AUUGAACGCUGGCGGCAGGCCUAACACAUGCAAGUCGAGCGGAUGAAGAGAGCUUGCUCUCUGAUUCAGCGGCGGACGGGUGAGUAAUGCCUAGGAAUCUGCCUGGUAGUGGGGGACAACGGUUCGAAAGGAACGCUAAUACCGCAUACGUCCUACGGGAGAAAGUGGGGGAUCUUCGGACCUCACGCUAUCAGAUGAGCCUAGGUACGAUUAGCUAGUUGGUGAGGUAAAGGCUCACAAAGGCGACGAUCGUUAACUGCUCUGAGAGGAUGAUGAGUCACACUGGAACUGGGACACGGGACAGACUCCUAGGGGAGGCAGCAGUGGGGACUAUUGGACAAUGGGCGAAAGCCUGAGCCAGCCAUGCCGCGUGUGUGAAGAAGGUCUUCGGAUUGUAAAGCACUUUAAGUUGGGAGGAAGGGCAGUAAGUUAAUACCUUGCUGUUUUGACGUUACCGACAGAAUAAGCACCGGCUAACUUCGUGCCAGCCGCCGCAGUAA